ACCUCAAAUCAGGUAGGACUACCCGCUGAACUUAAGCAUAUCAAUAAG
rnacentral:rRNA from 2 species